CAGCCUAGUCACCAACAGAAGGAGGAAUGCUGUCUAGGCUAUAGUGACUCUCUUGGAGGUAAUAGCUGCAAGAACUCUCCCAACAGGGACUUCUGUGCAAAAGGCUGAGUAAAUUGCCCUUAUGAGAGCCUUGCAUCUGUCCAAAGGCCCUGGAGAAAUGCAGAGAUGCAGGUUUAACCAGGUCCAUCAGGGUGUCCAGUUUCAAUCACUAACUGCUGGAACUGAUCCUCAGACAAGCCAGGACUCAAGUACAAGCCCACCUACAACCAGAUGAGCCCUUAGGGCCACUGGGGCCAUUUCUGACUUUGUGCUCUUCACAUACUUCCUUACAUUAGAAUAAUGUAAUUGUUCAGUAUGUUGUGCUUUAAUUUUUUAAGAAAAUGUCAAAGGCUAGCCAUGACACGGUUAUGUGUAUUUCUUUUAACUUUUCCAUAAAUAUUAAAUAAUGUAAUUGUUCAGA
rnacentral:lncRNA from 1 species